GACGAACGCUGGCGGCGUGCUUAACACAUGCAAGUCGAACGGAAAGGCCCUGCUUUUGUGGGGUGCUCGAGUGGCGAACGGGUGAGUAACACGUGAGUAACCUGCCCUUGACUUUGGGAUAACUUCAGGAAACUGGGGCUAAUACCGGAUAGGAGCUCCUGCUGCAUGGUGGGGGUUGGAAAGUUUCGGCGGUUGGGGAUGGACUCGCGGCUUAUCAGCUUGUUGGUGGGGUAGUGGCUUACCAAGGCUUGGACGGGUAGCCGGCCUGAGAGGGUGACCGGCCACAUUGGGACGGAGAUACGGCCCAGACUCCUACGGGAGGCAGCAGUGGGGAAGAUUGCACAAUGGGCGGAAGCCUGAUGCAGCAACGCCGCGUGCGGGAUGACGGCCUUCGGGUUGUAAACCGCUUUCGCCUGUGACGAAGCGUGAGUGACGGUAAUGGGUAAAGAAGCACCGGCUAACUACGUG
rnacentral:rRNA from 1 species